UACGAAGGGGGCUAGCGUUGUUCGGAAUCACUGGGCGUAAAGGGCGCGUAGGCGGCUUUAUAAGUCGGGGGUGAAAGCCUGUGGCUCAACCACAGAAUUGCCUUCGAUACUGUAGAGCUUGAGACCGGAAGAGGUAAGUGGAACUGCGAGUGUAGAGGUGAAAUUCGUAGAUAUUCGCAAGAACACCAGUGGCGAAGGCGGCUUACUGG
rnacentral:rRNA from 1 species